rnacentral:rRNA from 1 species
UACGGAGGGUGCAAGCGUUAUCCGGAUUUACUGGGUUUAAAGGGUGCGUAGGCGGGCCUUUAAGUCAGUGGUGAAAGCUCCGAGCUUAACUCGGAAACUGCCAUUGAUACUAUCGGUCUUGAAUUCGGUCGAGGUUGGCGGAAUGUGUCGUGUAGCGGUGAAAUGCUUAGAUAUGACACAGAACACCGAUUGCGAAGGCAGCUAGCUAGACCGACAUUGACGCUGAGGCACGAAAGCGUGAGGAUCAAACAGG